AUUGUCUGAAAGAAAGGAAGAAAGGAGAACAUUAACUUAAUCUCAAAUAAUUAUGUUCUCUCAACAAAGGCUUUCAAGCCUUUUCAGUCAACUUUACCAAUUUCUUGAAAUACAAUACUGAGAACAGGUAUAGAAUUCCUAAUAUUAUUUUCUGUACAGAUAUGUAUGUCAACUGCAACUGGCAAUGAGAUAAGAAAUAGCCAUACAUUAGUUCUCCUGCACAUUCCAAUGUACAGUAUAUGCAGGUGGAUGGCAGAUAAGAAGUUCAAUCACAAUGAAUGCCCAAAAGAAAUGUAACUCAGGGGAGAGCUGAAAGAAAGGACAAGCAUUUAAAAAGGCAAAAGUUAGUAACAUAGGAGUCUAAUAAGAUGGAAUUAUCAGAGUAUUCAAGGUGUUAAACUUUUUUACACAUUGCAAGAGAAGAGAUAAUAUGAAAAGCAAGUUUCUGGUAUUGGUAAAAAUCUCUUGUCUAUACAAACAUGAUUCCUGAAUCAGAGUUUAACUAGAAGUCUCUAAAACUAACUGUCAUACAGAUGACAGGGCAAGAUCUUGUCUAUAAGAGUUAAAAAAAAUUUAAAAUUAAAAUAAAAAAAGUAUACUGAGCAUCAUCCAAUUUAAUGAUAUGUCCUAUUCAAUUCUUUUGUUUGGCACCAGCAGCAGAGAAACACUCAUUAGCAAAUGUGUACUGAACACAGAAAUGGGAAUAGCCAUUUAUUUAAAUGCUGAAAAAUAUCCCUGUAGCUGCAGGGCUGGCAGUUUCAUUGGCACCUUGAAAACACUCUCAAAAAAUUCUUACUGCAAAGGGAAAAAAGACCUUCACACUACAAAUGAUCAUUACCAUUUUAAGAACUUCAGCAUUGAUUCAUGUGUGGCAGUUUUUAUAGUCCCCAGCCUUCGGUUCAUUUUCAAUCUGCUGCUCAGUUCAAGAUUCCUCUGUUGCUGAGAUUAAUGAAAUUUCUUAUAAAUCAGCCAAAAGUGAAGUCUUAGAAAUUACAGCAAGCUUAAAGCAUAUUUAUAACCCAGAGCACCCAGAUGGAUAGUACAUAUAUAUUCAGUAAAACAAAAUACCAUAAGGCAACGGUUUUCCACUCUAGGCUCCAAACAGAUUCAUUUUUUGUAAAAAAUAGAAACCCUUCUUUUAAAAAAGCCCAAAAAAAACCAAACCAAAAAACCACCAAACCAGGAAAAUAUAUUAAGUUUCAUCUCACAGCAAUUGAUUUAAUGAAACACUUUUUUUCUCACUAUAUAUUCAGACAAUGUGUUUUUGAGAAUUCAUUUCUGCAUUUUUAAAAAACCUGUUAUAAAGUUCAGAGGUAGCAAGUGUUCGCAUCUCAUUUUUAAUAAUUUACUGCAGAAAAAGCCAAUAUAAUGGUUAAAAACCUGUGAAGGGAACUAGAAAGUCUGGGCUGUAUCUGUAUGUUUGAUCUCUUUAUAUGUGCUAUUUAUAAAACAUCGUUCUUGUUAUGAAAAAUUCAUGAAAGUAAUGUGUUUUGCAACCUUGAGCAAGUCACUUCUCUCUCUGAAACUUACAAUUCUGUCCCAUGGCUCUGGAGAACCCUGUGGCAGUAGUGUUAGGUGUUACUGCUCCCACCCUUCUAUCCCUUCCCUCUGCCAACAGCUGCACUCCUGAACAUCAGCUUCAUGGGUUUAGGAUAAUGUACUUGACUAGAUGAGGGGGUCUCUGCUCUACACACCUUCCUUUUCACUGCAGGACCACAAGGUCACUUAUCUCUUCAGAGGUGCUGAACAGGAUAUGUGGAGGAACACUCUAACCACUAAAAUUCAAGGUUGCUUUCAAAAUCCAUCUGCAGUAAAGCUAUAUUCAAAAAGCAGAUGAAAAGGUCAUAGUUCCCAUCUUUCUUACACAGUUAUGAAGAAAAACCUGCUGUUAUGGUCAAAAGAAUUCUAUUAGAGGCUAAUAUCAAUUUUAGGGUUCUUAAUUAAGACCUCUGAUUAAUGAAUUUUUUUUUUUUUUUGCAAUAAUUUGUUUUUCUUUAUCAUUUUCAAAAUUCUUCUAAAACUUAUACUCUAAGGACUUGGACUGAGUAAUGAAUUCCAUUAACAAGUAAUAAAACAGGCACAGAAACAACUAAUUAUUUUACCAUUGCAUUGGUGCAAUACUUUUGUCUUCACUGAAAGUGGGAUGAGAACUCAGCCUGCUAUGUCUGCCUUCAGAGCUGCCAGUUAUCCUUGUGUACAAGACUGCUGAGGCACAGGCAGCACGUGGGGCUUGCAGAGGCACAGGAAUCUUCUCAGACCAAUCCAGUACUAAAGGCCAGCUUUGUAGGAUGCCAUAUAAUUCCUCUACCUUUCUUUUUGUGAUUGUCUGGUCUCAAUCUUGUAUCCUGGAUUCCCUGAAGGACCAGGAAAACUACAACAUUUAUAGAACAAAAAAGUACAGAGAAAUAAGAAAGGCCAUGGGUGAGCAAGCACCUUCAAUGUCAGGCUGUGCAUACACCAAGUCCCUUCAGCUGCUCUUUUCUAGCCUCCAUGAAGCUGAUGAUCUCAAGCCAUGCUGCAAGUACUCCAAGGCACUUUCGUCCUGUUCCAAUUACUUGAACUUGAGGGUAUCUCCCAACAUUUCCUUUACCUAGUUCUUCAUCCAGAAAAUCUUCCCUUUCCAUCACUACACAUACGCUCCAUGGGGGAAAAAAAUCAUUUGAGUACAUUAUUAAAACAAAUAAAUUAUCUAGUUAUGAGACUGAUCAGUAAAUGUUGUCUAACCCAAACCAAAGUGUUUCCAUGUCUCUGUUGCAAAAAGAUUUUUGAAAGAAAUGCUUUUAUCUUCUAAUGAUAAAUUCCCUAUAUCCUUCCUAUUUUUGGUUAUUGACUGAAACAAUGAAUCAUUCACAUAGAACAGCUUUUCCUUGAACUGAAGGCCAAAAUUGCCUGUGGCUUUUACAUUUACUGUUCUUCCUAGUCCUGUCCUAUGGAUAUCUCAAUCAAACAUAUGCCUCAGUACAACCAUCUAUCAAAGACCUCCAGGGAAAUCUGACACUGUCAGGUUUCUGAAAAAUUCAUAUCUGUGCAUACUUCAAAUACAAGUUUGGUUACUGACUAAUUGAUAGCUUCUCUGAGUCUAUAAUUCUGAAGACAGGACCACCAUUUUGUGAUAUGUGAAUACAAAGUUUUAGAUAUGUUUUCACACUCAUUGGUAUGUUUGAUCUUUCUGUGUCUAAACCAUAUCUUACUUAAUAUACAAGUACAGAAUAUCUAUAUUGUUAUCCCUCUGCAACAUUUUCCAGGAGGCAGUGAGAGCAAAUCUUAGUUUUGCAUCCACCACUUGAUUUAACUUUGGAAUUAAUUUAUAUUACUUGACUUUUUGCCCUGUCCUUUGUUAGUAAAGGAAGCAAAAUGAAAUUUUAAGGACAAGACCACACUAAGUGGAUUUGGUGCUGCUAAAGUACAGGCAAGAUGAUGAUCCAAAAAUGUGACCAUGACCAACAGAAAAUAUAUUAGGAAAUACAUUGCUAGUCCUCACUUCCAGCUGCCGAGGUUUGCAUGAGGCUGACAUACAGCAAUAAGAUUCCUGGUGGCUGGAAGAAUGUAGUAAAAAGAUCCUUUCUUUUGUACUGGUUGUUUUCCAGAGCUCAGAGCUUAAAUAUUCAGGGAGUCUUGGUGCAGGUAUUUCAUAUCAGGGCAAUUUUAAAUCAUAAAUGUCUUGGAAAUGCCCUGGGAAAAAAAUUUAGCCAUCACAAAAUCACAGUGGAAAAUUAAUUUAAAGCCUUGAAGGGUGUUAUGGAAAUAUUUUAAUGGGCUUUACAUAAAGAUCCAUCUGGAGCUCUGUACUAGAGUUAUUUGCUAUUCAAUUCCUAUUUAUGCUAGAGACACCGAAGGUUUAGCUUUACAAGCCCACACAUGGAACACAGACCAUCAACCAGCAUCUUUAGUCUUUGUUGACACCUCUUUGUCUUCUAAGUAACUUUUUUUUAUUUUUCUAGUACCAAAAUAGCAACUCUACAGUCAAUUCAAUAUCACUAGUGCCCUCUGCUGUGUAGACUAAAAAUUUAGUUUAAAAUGUUAAGAAUUUCCUUACUGCACAGUCAGUUCCCCAGAUACAGUACAAUUAUGAAAUGUGUUUCCAAACAUGACCUUAAGUCUGUCGGUGGCACUGCUCUAAUUACCACAGCAUAUAUCAUCUGCUUUUUUAGCAGUAUAUUCUGUAAUGUAUAUUCUCUUUAUGGCCAUGGAGACAUUCCCAGACAUAUAUGGAGAGCUGUUCAUUUGGUUUUCUAUUUUCACAGAAAUAAAAACCUUUUUUGGAAAUCGGCAUUUGAUACGCAUGUUCUCAUCUCUAUAGCUUAUCUGGCUCUCUGUUACUCUCGAUGUACUACACAUUUUCCUCGGAGCUAAAAGCACUGCCCUCUUAAGAUCCAGUGCAGAAGACGAAGCAAGGGAUGACAGAACUAAUCUACCUCUGCAGCUAUGCACAGUGCAACUUUCCAACUUUCUUUAGGGACAGCUUGGAGUAUGCUGUGGUUACCCAAUUGAAUGGAACUUUGCCAAAUGUGUAUGCAGCGGUAGAGGUACCUUCUUUAUGCUUUAUGGGCCAGGAGAAAGUGACUGUGCUCCCUCUGGUUGCUGAAGGAUUUUUUCUGUAAUGGGGGUCUUUGAUAACAAAAGAGAACUUCCACAACAUUUCCAAAGAUCUGCCUAAUGAGGAACUCUGAAUGCUCCAAGGGCCUGAGACUGAUCCCCUUUUGGCAGCAAUGGCAGCAGAAGCAGCCAAGGGAAUUUCAGUGUAGAGACACGCACACAAUAUGCUUUAGCUCCACCAAGUACUGAAACACACAAGGGUUAGUCUUCGUCCCAGAAUAGAGACUGAACUGUGGGCAGGGAGCUCCACCGGGGUCAGAAAUGCUCUGCCAACAUCUGCUCUGCAAAUGCUCCAGCAGCCUCACAUGUGUGUCCCCAUAUGGCUGUGCAGGGUUGGGCCGAUGGAACCACAUUGCCAGGGAUUCACUCACCAUAAUCUCCUGCCCACCUCACCUCCCCCCUUUUCUCUCUGGAAAUACCUUUCCACCUGGCUGAACCCUCAAGGACUUGAGCUCUCAGUUCAAGAGCAGUGCAAGCAGCUUGCAUUCUGUUCCUUGCCCCUACACAGUACAAUGACACCAAUCUCUUCUUCCAUGGGAUGCUUUUGUCACUAAAAAAGGAACACGUGCUAUGCUCUUAACAGACAACUACAAAACAUCAUCAUGCAAAAUCAGUGAAAUGGUUUAUAGCAGGUUUAUAAUUUUUAAAUGGUUUCCUUUUUCUAAUCUUAUUUUUUAUUUCUUCAUGGGUUUCUUCCUGUCAGAUAUGUUUGGCUUUUUUAGAACAGACUGAUCUACAAUGAAACCCCAUGCCUAUGACUAUAGAACUGGGUAACUUUAUCUACAUUGCUAAAAAUCAGUUUUCCCUUUUCACUUCUAUAGGACUUUAAAAGUCUUAACAACAGUUAAGGGAGCCAUUGCAAUAAAGUCUAAAGUCUUGUUAGGUUUCAAAACCCAGCAGUUUUUAUCUAUUUGGUUUUUUUAUUUUAUUUUUAGUUAAAUACAGUGAAAGCCAAAACAGGCUAGAUAGGCAGCCCUGCAAUGCAAACUGAUUACUCAUGAGACCAGACAAAUCAAAACACUCACAAUGCAAAUUAUUCUCCUCUUGGCAUGUUUCACUGUUUUGCUCUGGGACAUAGUUCUGUGCCCCCUUGAAGCAUUUAAGUGUAAGAGGCAGAGUGGAUAUUGCUGUACCAUAGAUACUUCCUAGCUCUCUCCUGCAAGCCUUUUAAGACUCAACUGAAUCACUAAGACACUGAUCUGAAAGACCUAAAUGUGAUUGGACACAUUCAAUCCUCCUGAAUCACCACUGAUUUCAGGGGAGUUCAAUCAAGGGUGAGUUUGACCCAGUCUGUCUUUUUCUUCUUGUCUUUCAUUUUUUUUUAUACAGAAAACAGUUUUAUUUCACCCACCUAAUUUUCCAGCAUGAUUUAAUGCUUCCUCUCUCAUUUCUUCCUAAGGUUUAAAAUUUUCUCUUUAACAUCAGGUAAAACAAAUUAACAUGAAAUAAACCUUUUAAAAAUGAGAAUUUGAGUGCACAUUGGUCCAAGCAAAAAUAUUUGCAUUUUAGCUAAAAAUUAAGAUAUUUCACAAUGCUUGAACCUCAAUCAGUCUGGUAUUUCUCUUUAUUUAUAAAUAUAAUUUUACUCUUAAGCAUCGUUCGCAGUUUGUAUCCUCAGUAAAACUAAUUUCACAGGAAAAUCAUAGAAAACAUCAGAUAAUAUGUAAUGAAUGUUUCUUAAGGACAAACUUAGAUAUCUUAAGAGGAAUUAUAUUACUUCUUUGUUGUCUUCUCCCUGGAUGCCACUCCAGGGAGUCACUCCAAAGGUGAUGAGGACAGAACAAUCCCAACUUCUCUGUUCAGACUGUUCACAGUUGUAUGAAUAGGAGCAAUCUAUGAGCUAUUCACAAUUAGCUAAAAUACUUUCAUAAAAGCCACCACAAUACAGCUUGGUUCUAGUGCACCCAGAAACAUUCUAGAAUUUUAAUUGGAAUUAACUUUUAAGUGGGUUAAUUCUAUUGCAUUAAAUCUUAGUGUGGACAUUCUUAUUUAGAAUUUAAUUUAACCUAAAUUGAAUCAAGGCCACUGUAACUUCAAUUAAGAGUGUCCAUAAAAGAAUGUAAUGUAGUUUAGCUAGUCCCUUUUCAAAGUUAAUUUGGAUUCAUUUUCUUGAGACCCCUUAUAGACAUUAGGAACUUUUGUUCUGUAUUGACUUGGGCUUGAUUCAAACCAAUUACAUAAAGGUAAAAAGGUUUUCUACCUCAUCACUGAUCCCCCUGGGUUACUGAAGUUCCAUUUUGCUUCCCUAAUUCAGUUGAUUAAAUACAUUUUCUCUGUCAUUUUGUUGUUUGUUUCAUCUCAUACCUCCUUCUGGACAGAUAUUUAUGUAGGGGAAAACAGGCAACUGAACAAUAGAAAUUUUACAAUAGCCUGAUAAUAAAAUUAUCUUAAUUACAGAAGUCUGUCAUGGUACCUCAUGUGCCAACCAUGAUAUAAGAGGAAGUCAGAGAAACACCUUCAAGAUUUCCGUCUCUUAUGGCAGAAAUAUCUUAGUGAGCAAUAAUUAAAUAGCACUAUUUCUAUAACUAUGCUUUCUUAAUUACUUUUUCAUUCAUUAUCAAACUAAAAUCACAGAUCCAUAUUAGGAAGGCAUUUGAGAGCCACAACAAAAU